UUUCCGUAGGUGAACCUGCGGAAGGAUCAUUAAAGAGAAUAUGCCCUUCGGGGUAGAUCUCCCACCCUUUGUUUAUAUUACCUUUGUUGCUUUGGCAGGCCCGUCUUCGGACCACCGGCUUCGGCUGGUCAGAGCUUGCCAGAGGACCCAAAGCUCUUAUUAUUAAUGUCGUCUGAGUACUAUAUAAUAGUUAAAACUUUCGACAACGGAUCUCUUGGUUCUG
rnacentral:misc_RNA from 1 species